ensembl:lncRNA LINC01193 long intergenic non-protein coding RNA 1193
GUUGCAGGCUAUCGUGUGUUAACCUGUACUUCUGCCGCAGAGUUUGGAGAAAGCGGCAGCAGAUUGUGCUGCCGCAGGCUGGAGCCUGGAACCUGGAGCCCUGGAGCCUUGAAUGGUGUGUGGUGGCAAUGGAGAGAGGCAGCUGGCAGUGACAGCUGCUCCGUGCUUGGCUACAGGAAGGAAAGAAGGAGAAAGCACCUACCAUAGGCUGGAGGCUAGAGCCUGCAGGACUGCGGCUGGCCUCGCUGGCUCGCCUCCCUGGCUGGCCUCGCUGUGGUUGGUGGCAGCGACGGAUACUGCAGCUGGCCAGAGUGUAGAAAGGCAAUGGGGCUUUUUUGGCUGUGUGUGUCCAGCUGUUCCAUGCCAGGAGGAGGAGGAGUUACAUGCUGGAAGCUUGCAGAUAGCCUGGGGCUGCUGCUCGCCUUGCUGCGGUUGGUGGCAGCUACCGAGACUACCUCGCACCAGAGCGCUCAGCAUGAUGUAAACUCCACUGCGGACAGAUGCAGCCAAGAAGACAGGUCACCUUCUACCAACUCCCACCAGAGGAAACUCUUCCCCAGGACCCAGUACGUUGGCCCUCUGACCCUGCACACAGCACAUGAUGCUGAGGUUCAGUGCUGAACAAGAGCUACUGAGAGCCAGAGAUUCACUUCUUCCAUGGAGCCCCACUCAUGGAUGGAGGCUCUGUCCCGGGUCCAGUGCCACUGGGAACACUGGGUCUCUGGUUUCUAGCUCUGUCCUAUGGCAGAGGUUCCACCCCACAAUAACCGAAGUGCUGAGAAGGUGGGAAGCUCCUGCCCGACCCUCCACUGAGAGCUCAGCUCCUAGGCUGAGGAAUAAAACAGCUCAACUUUGUCUACACCUGCAGAACCUUGUUUAGGAGCUCUGUCCCAGGAGAGAGGGGGCAAUGGAAUUCAGUCAUAAAAUAUGAUCCUUAAUUAGUCCUAAAAAUCCUAACUUCAGUAACAGCAGAUUGUGGACAAAUUGAAAGCCUGCCAGUGCUCUCAAAAACAGUGGAUGGUGUGGUGGAAAGCCCUUGGAAGGAGACGGGUGGAUGCAUGGGAGAUGCAGGCUACACUGCAGGGCUGCUGGCUUGCAGGAGAGAACCGAGGACAAGGGAGAGCUGGGGAAAGUUCUCUUGUGGUUGAAAUAAAUGCCAGACACUCUUCAAUGGAGCCCAUGUUUGUUUGGUUCAGUCUGUGAAGUAAUUCAAACCUCAGUGCAUGAUUGAAAAUAGUACAAUUUUCCAUCUGCAAGUGGCAGAGCUCAACAUCUGGGUCUGGUCAGGAGAGAGACAGAGAGAGCCCAGCCCAAACCACUGACACCUGGGGUUGACAGUGCUGCUUACAGAUGUGUUCCUUUGAUCUUUGAGACUGGUUUCUCUCACUUAGCAUAAUGCCUGGAGUUCAACUGUAAUGGUUUGUGAAUCGAUCAUUUGAUAUUUUUUAUUGCUGAUGGAUUCAAUUUAUAGAUGCUUCCUAGUUUUUUCACCUACUCAAAUUUUGAGACAUUUAUGUUAUUUUUCAUUUCUAACACACACACAUGUAAUAUCUUGAAUAUUUGAAUAGAGGUUUUGUGUGAAAAUAAGAUUGUAUUUCUCUGAAGCAAAAUUCAAGAGUGGGAUAUUUAGGUCAUGUGUUAAGGGCAUGUUUGAUUGCAGAAAAAACUAAAAAUUAUUUUCCCGA